rfam:Lampropedia sp. CT6, whole genome shotgun sequence.
CGCGUUUUUGUUCAGGCGGAGCUCGACCGCCGACUGACGUGAGCUGCCAUCUUGUGGGCGAACACCGCGAAGUCCACGGGGUCGAGCCGAUGUGCAGGGUGCCGCAGAUUGCUCCG